AAAUAAUGUUUAAGACACGAAUUAAUUUAAUUAGGAUUUUGUAAUGCCUAGGAGCGCCUACACGACUUUACAGUACGCGAAUGAUAAUCUGCAAAGAAACUGCGUAACGCUAAACGAUAACGAACUGAUGUCGUACAAAAUACUGACCUCACCGACAAAUACGAAUUUUAUACGUAUAUUUUAUACCUAUGAGUUUGGUUUUGCGAAUUUAUAGCGCUAUCGAAUGUCACAAAGCGAAAACAUGAACGAAGAUGCGGAAACAGUAACGCGCAGACAAUCAACGAUGAAACGGAAGCACCGGACAAGAAUUUUUGUCGCAAUAAUAAUAUAUUAUGAUAUAUUGAACGUCGUUUUCAAAUUUUAAUAUCCGUAGUCGAAACCGGAUUGAAAAACGAAUUAAAGCGGCAACGACACAAUUUUACGCGACUUUUAGCGUAAGCGACGAACGAGAGCGUCAAAUGCGACAAUCGACACUGUUUUGCGUCUUCUUAUUUUAAAACAAUAAUUUACGACAUUUUUACGACGUUCGGGUUUUGAUAACGGGUCUCGUAGGAAUUACGGGUCACUUAAAACACGCGAUUGGGCUUGCGGGCCUUGGGCCCAAGCCCAAAGCCCACUAACUAACCCUAGUAUAUAUUUGUAGUGAUGAAGCUUAUUGACAAUUGAACCCUAAAAAUCACACAAGCACACACAUCUGCUUUUCCUUUUCCUUCUCAAACCCUCUCUUCCAUAAGACCUCCCUUUCUCUCAAAUAUGUAUACAUAACAAAAGCCAAACACCCUCUCGUCUUCUACCAGCAACCUUUUAUCCCCUUCCUUUGUUAAUACUCAUUCACCAAACAAACAAAACCCCUCAUCUAUCAAAGGAACAGGCCAACCACGACUGUGGAGGCGGUGUACGGCGGUGGUGGAUCCCCACAAGCACGACAUCAGCGGCAACCACCCCCCCCCUGUUACAGAAUCAACGGCCGGCCACCAUCCUUGGGUGGUGGCGCAUGGCGGCGGCGCGACGACAAGGUCCGAGAGGCAGAGAGAGAAAGAACGAGAGGAGGGAGAGAACGAAGGGAGCCGACUGUUGACCUUUCCGUUGACCGGAAUCGGGCGGCGACGAGCGACGAAUUCCGGUUCCACGUGAUAAUUAUUUAGAUGGAUACAUUUUCACGUUCCAAAGCGUGUUCGGUCAGUUUUGGGUGAUGACUUUGGCGGUGGUUGUAGCUCAAACGGGUCACGUGGGUGUGGGUUGGACGGAUCCACGGUUACGUGAUAGAUCUUAGUGGUUUUGAUGCUUUCGGUUCCCGGUCAACUGAGUCAACGCAAUGAGUUGACAGCUCAAACCUGGUCAACGCUAGUCAAACAUGGUUUUGGGUCAGUUUCGCAUUGCAAGAAAACCAAGUUGCUCGGAUUUUAUUUUGGUUCGGUUCGAGAUCGGUCAAACGUGGUCAAACAUCAACUCAGUUCGGGUUAACGCCGGUCAACAACAGUCAACUGCAGACCCGGUAAAGUUUAUUGGCGCGGAUUUUUCGUCUUAUCAUUUAUAUAGUUUAUAUCUCUACGCGAACCGAGCUCGAACCUUUAGCGAUUACAUAACGUUUAUGCAUUAUUGAUUCUUUAGAGUUUGAUAUAUUUUGACUAAAACUAUAUAUCGUUAUUACAUUGGUUUGAAAUAUUAUUUGAUUGUUGAGUUUUGACAAAA